UACGUAGGGGGCAAGCGUUGUCCGGAGUUACUGGGCGUAAAGCGCACGCAGGCGGUCUUUUAAGUUUGGAGUGACAGUUGGUGGCUUAACUGCCAAAGUGCUUCGAAAACUGAAAGACUUGAGGGCUUCAGAGGGACACGGAAUUCCGGGUGGAGUGGUGAAAUGCGUAGAGAUCCGGAGGAACACCAAAGGCGAAGGCGGCUUCCUGGCCUGUUCUUGACGCUGAGGCGCGAAAGCUAGGGUAGCAAACGGG
rnacentral:rRNA from 1 species